rnacentral:lncRNA from 1 species
CUUCAUAUAUAAAUAGAUAAUGCUCAAGUCACGAUAAAUACAAAAUUUGUUAUUGUAUCUUGAUCUCCCAAGAAUCAUAGUACUUACAAUAUUUAAUAACUAACAUAAGAAAAUUGAAAAAAUAACAGCGAACUAGAAGGAAUGAAGUGUACAUCAUGUUAGGUCCACUUCAUCAUCAUUUUCUUCAAGGAAAUCAAGGUUGGGCCUGUAAAGUUCCACCUGCAAAAGAAACAACAAAAUUCAAUUUUAACAAGAUGAGGAAUAAGAAAAAAUAAACCUGGUGAACUUAAAUUAACAGGGAGAGGGAGAUUAAUGAAGGACAAAGACAAAAAUAUAAUUAUUAGUAAAUACCUCAAGUGAAUCAUAGUUGGUAAAUGUUUGAAGGAAGUUGGUAAACUUCCGCUCUACCAAUUUAGUUAUAUGUUCAGUAAUAUCUAUACCAAUGGACAGUUGUGGUGUACUAUCAUUGGUAGAAUCAUCAUCCAUAGACUUUAUACCCAAUCGACGGAGGACAAUCUUGUCAAUCAUAUUCUCCAAUUCCUUAGUAUCAGUAGAUUGUUGCGAUGAAGAAUAACCUAUACUCGGCGGCACUAUAGGAGGAGUACCGAGCACGUCUUGUGCACGAUAUCUAGGAAAACCAGGUAUCCUAUUUUUUUUAAUCCCACCAAUUUUCUCAAUCCAAAUAGCCAAGUCAUCUACCUCUGGUGUACCGUCCUCUGCAGGACCGCUAACCUCAGUACUAUAUUCUAUAUAAAAUCCAAAACAUGUACAAGAGUUAAAUACGUACAUUAAAUACAUUUGCAAAUCAUAAAAAUGCACAUCAAUUAACAAUUGAAAUUGUAAAUAUUGGUUGGCUAAAUUAAAAAUCAGGCAGACAUCUGAUGAUAUAAAACUCAUGGAUAUACAAAAGGAAAUAGGUGGUGAGAAAGUCAAGCAGACAUUCUUCAUAUUUGCUUUCAAUUAGUUAAAUUACAAUUACAAAAUCUUAAUUAUUUGUAAAGCAUCACAAUGUUAACAUGUGGGACGAAUAUGUAUGAACAUGCUUAUUUAGCACUUCAGCUCACAAUGUUAAUAGAGUCUUCUGAUAUUAAAACUAUGCUAAUAAUAAUAAUAAUAAUCAAACCCGAACCUGAACUAAAAGAUUUAUAUCAACAAUUAAUAUCAAAUAAAAUAUCAUAAGCUAAUAAAAAAGGACUUACUACAAUCUCCUUAGCACGGGAGUUUAUAUAAACUCCAUUACCCUGUUUCUUUCUUGUGGGUCCUAUCCCAUACCUCUACCAAAGUUGGAGCCCUUUUCUUAGCUAUCGUCAAAUCCAUCAUAUGCUUGGAAAAUAGUGCAGAACCACCAGUGUGAUCUACUGUCAAUUUUGCUCGAUUCUUUUUAGACGCUGCACUCCUUAAUUUCCAAGUUUGCUCCUUCCACACAUCAAUCAUCUUUGUCACACUUGUUGCGAAAGUCAACUGGGAUUAUAUGGUUUCAAGGCGUCACACAUCUCAUUUGUACGAGCCUUCUUAUGAGCUCCGCGCCUUGCAACGCUUAACCAUUUUGAAUAAAGUUUUUUAUAAUGGUUACGAAAGACCUCCUUCACUUUCUCAUUUUCCCCUUCACGAAACCAAAAGCAAGCCUGGGCAAGUAUUGAAGAAAAGAAAUAAAACAAUAAAUAUUUAGAGAAGAAACAACAGCUGGGUAAUGAUGAAACAUCAUAACUCAUCAUAUAUUUUACUACAAAAUUUGCAACUCCUCCUACCAUAGAGUUACAAGACAUCAUAAAUCUUUCCGUAGCUCCAUGUAAUAAUGAUAAUGAUGAUAAAUGAAUCAAAAUAUUCAGAGGAAAUUACAUAACAUGCAUAGGCUAACUUUGAUUUGAGAGACAUUUGGUAGAAUUUCAAUUGUUUAUGUUAAACCAUAAGUUCCCAUGAUUAUUACGGUCAAACCAUCCCCAAGUCCAUAGUUAUUUGGCCAACUCAAUAUUAAAUCAAGAAAACUACAAAAAAGAUGACUUGAGCCAACUGCAACAAGAUAAUACAAAAGAAUGUAGAUUCAGUAAACCCGCCUUCAUAAAUGAUGCUAAAUGGAGAAAAUGCUCAUUGUUAAUCAAAAUAAAAGUUCCAUAAUCAAAAAAGAUACAACAAACAGGUGAACAAAUACUGUGGAGAGCUAAAACAAAGAAUUUUAUUACACAUUGCUCAAGUAACACAAACGCGAGAGAUUCAUAAUGAGCCAAAGAAAAAUCAAUACAAUGACCUUAGUCACCAAAAGAGGUAGCAAGCAAGUUGGGCAUCUAACUGAUAUCUAAAAGGAUAGAGCAUUAACCAAUACAGUCGAGACACAUGUAUAAUUAUCAUCGACUCACUCUCGAUAUCUAUUUUAGCUCAAGUAUUUUUAAUCCCACUCUUAGUAUCUCAACUUCAUCUUUAUUUUUUAUUAAUCCCUAGAAAGAUGUCAAAACUUGUAGUACUAUUACAUCUAUAGUUGGAAAUGUGACACUUAUAGCGUAAUUCAGAGGAGGCCUGAAAAUGACUCACUGUUUUAUUGAGACCAAAAAAAUAACAAAUUAUUAUAUAACUUAGCUGGAGACAAGAACAUGCUUCAAGCCACAUAUAUAUAGUAUAGCUAUAAUAUAUAAAACAUACUUACAGAUAUAACAUAGCUUAUAUAUCUGGUAUGUAUUACUUGAUAUACAAAACAUAAUGUACAUUCAUAUCAUACAUAAUACAUUAUUCUAAUAAUAUAUUAACAUUACAACUAAUAACAGGAUCGAAACCAGAUGCCCAAUAACUAAAUUUCAUAUUAGGCUAGCACAUAAUAUAUAACACCAAUAUUAAUACAAGUCUAAAAGGGUGAAAUUUUGUAAUAGCACUACAUUCUCAUAUCGUUUCUUACACAAACAAAUACACACAUACAUACAUGUGUCUGUAUAUAUGAAUCAUUACAACAACUAAUGGAAUACGGAUGAACAAAGUUGCUGGAAAAAAUACCUUCGAACAAAUUGACGGGUCUUUGGGUCUUCGAAGUUAGGGCUUCUGCAAUUGGGACAGAAGGUACGAAUUUGAAGAUGCAAAGAUGAAGUUUGGGGUAAAAUUUUGGGAUUAAUGAUAAUCCCUUUACUCAUACGAAAUAUUAUUCACACAAUCAAAUCUUGAUCUCGCUAAUUGCGGCAAAAUGGGGCGCUAAUUUUUUAUUUCUCCCGCCUAAACUAUGGCUAAGGAAAAGAGGGGAAACCAAAUUGGUAGAGACCUAGCUAGCAUCUAUCUUGUUGAAACUUCAAUUUUGGCUAAGGAUUGAGCGAAACCCUUGAUCUAGCUAGCUUGCUUCCCCAUCUCGCUUGCUUGAGUUGCUUCCCUUUCUCAGGGGUCACGCACACACUGUACUGAACUUCAAAUAAAGUUAAGUUUUUUUUGAUUUUUUCUUAUGGUUUGAACUAAUUAAAAAUAAAAUUAAAUAAUCCAAAAGUCUUUCUUAAAGCUCUCCCAAAUUGUUAAUAACAAAAAAUAAAGUUACUUUAAAUUAAUCUCUAAAAGAAUUUUUUGGUUAAUAUUAUAUACUUAAAAUAAAAUUUAAAGUCUUUUGGAUUAUUUAAUUUUAUUUUUAUUUAACUUUAACUUUAUUUAUGAUCAUAAAAAUAAACUUUUACGGAGAAAUUUUAAAGUUUAACAUAGUGUAAAGUUAUUUACUUUAUAGUUUAUUAAAAUAAAUAGUUGAUAUUGUAAGUUACUAAAAAAGUGUUAUUAAAAUUAAAUUUAUUAUUGUAAAAAAUUUAAGGUAUUUAUGAAUACCACAAUUAAUUCAAAAAAAGUUAUUUAAAACAAAAUAGCGACUAAUUUUAUCUCUCACAAAAAAUCUCUGAACAAUAAUAUAUAGUGAGUAAUAAUUCUUUUAUUAAUAGUUUUUUUUUCUCGCAAAUUUUCAUCAUAAAUUGGCUCCAAAAAUCUUUCUAUCACCCCAAUUUUGCAAAGAAAAAAAAUAUAAAUUGUGAAUGAUGUUUCUUUCACUAAUAACUAUAUUGUCACUAUACUUAUUUCCUUCGAUGUUCCUUCGCUAUAAAACUCCUCAUGUGAAGGAAAAAAUUCCUUCACAAAACUUCUUUCACUACACCCCUAAUUUCUUGUAGUGUUUGUAGUAGUUAUUUGUUUGUAAUAAUAAUAGCUAAGAGAACGAGAGAUUUUCAUGGUGCAAAAUUAUUAUGUCUAAAAUGUAUAUAUAUAAGACUUCUCUCAAUAUACAUAUAUGUAGUAUAUCUAUCUCUACACAUAUAGAUACAUACAUAUAUUUAUAAUAGUUUCACCAUUAAACUAUUAUUUAUUUCUAUUUUAAUUAUACUUAUUACUACUAAUGAUGUAAAUUACAUAUUAGUAAUAAACUUAUAAUUAAAUAGAAUGUCAAAAGUCUCACAAGAAUAUCUCUUGUUCCAAAAUAAAAUAAGACUAUACACUUAUACUUAUAAAGUGACAAGUAGUCUUUUUUAUUAAAUGAGAUAAGAAAUAAUAGUUUUAUCAAACAACUUUGCACCUUAUUAAAUUUAUCACUAUAGGCACAAAUCAAAUGAAGUUCUCUCUUAUUUUUCACAAUUAGGGAAACAAAUUACACCUUUAUAUUUACUUAAAUUAUGUCCACUAAUGGGUUUUAUUCAAGUCCAAACUUGACAAAAAUUAAAUCUCCAAAAUAUAAAAUAAGGUGCAAUUUUUAACAGUCAUAAAUACCUCUUUUUGUAAAAGUCUCUUGUCCGUCGGCAGUAUUAAACUGCGGACGCUAAGUCUUGUCAAUUGAAAAACGACGUCGUUUCUAAAUAAGGGUCGUCCGCAGUAUGGCUAAUCAAUUGGAAAACGACGUCGUAUUGGCCAAAUUCAAAUUUUUAUUUAAUUUGUUAGGCUCCGCACUAUUAAACUGCAAAUGCCAAAUAAUAGAGAUAACUUCCUUAAAAUUAAAUUUUUUAAUAAAUUGAUGCAAGUGUUCUUGAAAGUUAUUACAAUACAGAAUUUAUAAUAUGAUAAUUAAUCAUUAUUCCAUCAUGCAUAUCUAUGUUGAACUCUGAUUCAAACUUAUUCAUAUACACUGCACCUGAGAUACUUAAGUAACUGGCUAAUACUAAUUUAAAGGAACUAAAUAGAAUAUUAUAAUCCUUAAAAGACUCCCCUGUUUAUUUUAUGCACGCACAAGACUAAUUAAUGUUAAAGCAUAUAAAUGAGCUCCUGCCCUAGGAAUAUCUCUUUUUGUAAAUGUAAAGGAUUUAAUUAAGAAGGAAAAGCAAACAGAAAAGAAGUUUGAACAACAUAGGCGAAAUUAACUUUAACAUCAAAUUUACAGGGAUAUAGAGAAUGCGAUGAAUUUAUAUAAACAUUAAUUUAUACUUAUACUCAAAUUUAUAUAUUGGUUAGCCCAUCUACCCAUCGUUUAUGAACGCCGACAUAUAAGAACACGUCCAUACCAGCCCAAAUAAGCAGAAUUGAAAAUUAAUCUAAGUACGAAUACCUUUUCAUGAAGGAGAAGAAAAAGCAGACUACACGUAUACUCGGGUAAUCGGAGGAGCGAUUUAAACAGAGAAAUCACGAUCGAAGAUUUCAUGAACAAAGUGCGUAUCGGCAUUUGGCAUAAUGAUGUUGUUUUAGAGGGUGAAAUCAUGAGAUUUCAUAUACUCAUUUUGACAGAGGAGCAGCUGCUGCUGGUUUUUUGUGAGCGGCUGUGA